rnacentral:rRNA from 1 species
AACGAACGCUGGCGGCAGGCUUAACACAUGCAAGUCGAGCGCCCCGCAAGGGGAGCGGCAGACGGGUGAGUAACGCGUGGGAAUCUACCGUGCUCUACGGAAUAGCUCCGGGAAACUGGAAUUAAUACCGUAUACGCCCUACGGGGGAAAGAUUUAUCGGGGUAUGAUGAGCCCGCGUUGGAUUAGCUAGUUGGUGGGGUAAAGGCCUACCAAGGCGACGAUCCAUAGCUGGUCUGAGAGGAUGAUCAGCCACAGUGGGACAGAGACACGGCCCAAACUCCGACGGGAGGCAGCAGUGGGGAAUAUUGGACAAUGGGCGCAAGCCUGAUCCAGCCAUGCCGCGUGAGUAAUGAAGGUCUUAGGAUUGUAAAGCUCUUUCACCGGUGAAGAUAAUGACGGUAACCGGAGAAGAAGCCCCGGCUAACUUCGUGCCAGCCGCUGCGGUAACAC